rnacentral:rRNA from 1 species
UCGCCCUUUGAGUUUGAUCCUGGCUCAGAUUGAACGCUGGCGGCAGGCCUAACACAUGCAAGUCGAGCGGUAACAGAGAGAAGCUUGCUUCUUUGCUGACGAGCGGCGGACGGGUGAGUAACGCGUAGGAAUCUACCUAUUAGUGGGGGAUAAGCCAGAGAAAUUUGGUCUAAUACCGCAUACGCCCUACGGGGGAAAGGAGGGGAUCUUCGGACCUUUCGCUAUUAGAUGAGCCUGCGUAAGAUUAGCUAGUUGGUGAGGUAAAGGCUCACCAAGGCGACGAUCUUUAGCUGGUCUGAGAGGAUGAUCAGCCACACUGGGACUGAGACACGGCCCAGACUCCUACGGGAGGCAGCAGUGGGGAAUAUUGGACAAUGGGGGGAACCCUGAUCCAGCCAUGCCGCGUGUGUGAAGAAGGCCUUCGGGUUGUAAAGCACUUUCAGAUGUGAGGAAAGGUGUGUGCUUAAUACGUACAUACUGUGACGUUAGCAUCAGAAGAAGGACCGGCUAACUCCGUGCCAGCAGCCGCGGUAAUACGGAGGGUCCGAGCGUUAAUCGGAAUUACUGGGCGUUAAGCGCACGCAGGCGGUUUGUUAAGCUAGAUGUGAAAGCCCCGAGCUCAACUUGGGAUGGUCAUUAAAACUGGCAGACUAGAGUCUGGGAGAGGGGAGUGGAAUUUCUAGUGUAGCGGUGAAAUGCGUAGAUAUUAGAAGGAACAUCAGUGGCGAAGGCGACUCCCUGGCCAAAGACUGACGCUCAUGUGCGAAAGUGUGGGUAGCGAACAGGAUUAGAUACCCUGGUAGUCCACACCGUAAACGCUGUCUACUAGCUGUGUGUGUCUUUAAGACGUGCGUAGCGAAGCUAACGCGCUAAGUAGACCGCCUGGGGAGUACGGCCGCAAGGUUAAAACUCAAAUGAAUUGACGGGGGCCCGCACAAGCGGUGGAGCAUGUGGUUUAAUUCGAUGCAACGCGAAGAACCUUACCUACACUUGACAUUCAGCGAACUUAGCAGAGAUGCUUUGGUGCCUUCGGGAACGCUGGGACAGGUGCUGCAUGGCUGUCGUCAGCUCGUGUCGUGAGAUGUUCGGUUAAGUCCGGCAACGAGCGCAACCCACAUCCCUAGUUGCCAGCAGUUCGGCUGGGCACUCUAUGGAAACUGCCCGUGAUAAGCGGGAGGAAGGUGUGGAUGACGUCAAGUCCUCAUGGCCCUUACGGGUUGGGCUACACACGUGCUACAAUGGCAGUGACAAUGGGUUAAUCCCAAAAAGCUGUCUCAGUUCGGAUUGGGGUCUGCAACUCGACCCCAUGAAGUCGGAAUCGCUAGUAAUCGCGUAACAGCAUGACGCGGUGAAUACGUUCCCGGGCCUUGUACACACCGCCCGUCACACCAUGGGAGUGGACUUCACCAGAAGUAGCUAGCUUAACCUUCGGGAGGGCGGUUACACGGUGGGGUUCAUGACUGGGGUGAAGUCGUAACAAGGUAAC